UACGGAGGGGACUAGCGUUGUUCGGAAUUACUGGGCGUAAAGCGCACGUAGGCGGAUUGCUAAGUCAGGGGUGAAAUCCUGGAGCUCAACUCCAGAACUGCCUUUGAUACUGGCGAUCUCGAGUCCGGGAGAGGUGAGUGGAACUGCGAGUGUAGAGGUGAAAUUCGUAGAUAUUCGCAAGAACACCAGUGGCGAAGGCGGCUCACUGGCCCGGUACUGA
rnacentral:rRNA from 1 species